rnacentral:rRNA from 1 species
CCCCUAGAUGUUCUGGGCCGCACGCGCGCUACACUGAACAGUGCAACAAGUUUUGUCCUUGGCUGAUAGGCCUGGGUAAUCUUUGAACGUGAAUCGUGAUGGGGAUAGAUGAUUGCAAUUAUUCAUCUUCAACGAGGAAUUCCUAGUAAACGCAAGUCAUCAGCUUGCAUUGAUUACGUCCCUGCCCUUUGUACACACCGCCCGUCGCACCUACCGAUUGAAUGGUCCGGUGAAAUCUUCGGAUCUGAGAGAUGUCUGAUUAAUUUCGGACGCCUUUUGGAAAAGUUGUUUAAACCUUACCAUUUAGAGGAAGGUGAAGUCGUAACA